CAGCCGCCACGGGAAUACGAAGGGGGCUAGCGUUGUUCGGAUUUACUGGGCGUAAAGCGCACGUAGGCGGAUCGAUCAGUCAGGGGUGAAAUCCCAGAGCUCAACUCUGGAACUGCCUUUGAUACUGUCGAUCUGGAGUAUGGAAGAGGUGAGUGGAAUUCCGAGUGUAGAGGUGAAAUUCGUAGAUAUUCGGAGGAACACCAGUGGCGAAGGCGGCUCACUGGUCCAUUACUGACGCUGAGGUGCGAAAGCGUGGGGAGCAAACAGGAUUAGAUACCCCCGUAGUCCCUGUCUCUUAUAC
rnacentral:rRNA from 1 species